CUCGAAAAAAUUCACACAUAUAGGUUACAUGAUAUAUUCUCAUCCUUGUCUACAACCUCCCCUGAAUCCUCAUUCUAUAAUGUACAAUCAUCUUUUCUCUUUUGAAUGGAUGUGAGAGGUACAAUGUAUGUUUGUCUGAGGUUCUACUUUUCCUUGAGUCAAAUGCAAUAUGAAUUCCCUUUGAGUCCCUCCAGAAUGGUCUGCAGCUCCAGGCAAAGGUGUUGGGCAGUUCUCCCUCUACAAUCAAAGGCGCUUCACUGAGUUGUCCAAUUACUGGUUGGUUCUCUCUACAGAUAUAAUGUAGUUUGCUGUUGGUUUUGAAUUGAGUUUACAAGAGAUGUAUUUAAAGAACAUGUCAUUGCCGCAAAUCCUUCCAUCAUUAAGUCAUGAACCAGGAAUCCGUUAACCACACAAAAUCCUAUGUUGAAGUAAUAAUAAGAAUUUAUCAUUUCACAAACUGAACUACAAAAAUAAACUGUGCAAACAGUGAAUAUGCAUGUAGCUGCUUAAAAGCCGAAGUUGAAGAAAACAUAACCCACCAGAUCCAAAACCUGCUAGCAACUCGGCUAUAUAAUUGGCCAAUGUGCAUUUGCUGGAACUAGUAAAGUAAUAUCUCUAGCUAGAGAGG
rnacentral:lncRNA from 1 species